rnacentral:misc_RNA from 1 species
AACCAUAGAAACCUGCGGAGUACCUGCGGAAGGAUCAUUACAGAGUUAUCCAACUCCCAAACCCAUGUGAACUUAUCUCUUUGUUGCCUCGGCGCAAGCUACCCGGGACCCCGCGCCCCGGGCGGCCCGCCGGCGGACAAACCAAAACUCUUGUUAUCUUAGUUGAUUCUCUGAGCGUCUUAUUUAAUAAGUCAAAACUUUUAGCAACGGAUCU